rnacentral:rRNA from 1 species
AGAGUUUGAUCCUGGCUCAGGACAAACGCUGGCGGCGUGCGUAACACAUGCAAGUCGAACGGGGUCAUGUUGAGGUAGUGAUACCUUGGUAUGGUUCAGUGGCGGACGGGUGAGUAACACGUGGAUAACCUGCCCUGGUGUGGGGGAUACCCUGUAGAAAUACGGGCUAAGACCGCAUAUGGUCGCUUCUGGGGAGCUGG